UCGCUUCAGCAGCACAUAUACUAACAUUGGAAUGAUACAGAGAAGGUUAGCAUGGCCCCUGCGCAAGUAUGACACACAAAUUCAUGAAGCAUUCCAUAUUUUU